rnacentral:rRNA from 1 species
AUUGAACGCUGGCGGCAGGCUUAACACAUGCAAGUCGAGCGGAGAUGAGGUGCUUGCACCUUAUCUUAGCGGCGGACGGGUGAGUAAUGCUUAGGAAUCUGCCUAUUAGUGGGGGACAACAUUCCGAAAGGAAUGCUAAUACCGCAUACGUCCUACGGGAGAAAGCAGGGGAUCUUCGGACCUUGCGCUAAUAGAUGAGCCUAAGUCGGAUUAGCUAGUUGGUGGGGUAAAGGCCUACCAAGGCGACGAUCUGUAGCGGGUCUGAGAGGAUGAUCCGCCACACUGGGACUGGAACACGGCCCAGACUCCUACGGGAGGCAGCAGUGGGGAAUAUUGGACAAUGGGGGGAACCCUGAUCCAGCCAUGCCGCGUGUGUGAAGAAGGCCUUAUGGUUGUAAAGCACUUUAAGUGAGGAGGAGGCUACUGAGACUAAUACUCUUGGAUAGUGGACGUUACUCGCAGAAUAAGCACCGGCUAACUCUGUGCCAGCCGCCGCAGUAA